rnacentral:rRNA from 1 species
AUUGAACGCUAGCGGGAUGCCUUACACAUGCAAGUCGAACGAGUGGCGGACGGGUGAGCAAUAUAUCGGAACGUGUCCAGUAGCGGGGGAUAACUACUCGAAAGCGUGGCAAAUACCGCAUACUAUGGGAUCGGCCGAUAUCGGAUUAGCUAGUUGGUGGGGUAAAGGCUCACCAAGGCAACGAUCCGUAGCUGGUUUGAGAGGACGACCAGCCACACUGGGACUGAGACACGGCCCAGACUCCUACGGGAGGCAGCAGUGGGGAAUUUUGGACAAUGGGGGAAACCCUGAUCCAGCCAUCCCGCGUGUGUGAGAAGGCCUUCGGGUUGUAAAGUACUUUUGGCAGAGAAGCGGUAUCUGCAGAAGAAGCACCGGCUAACUACGUGCCAGCAGCCGCGGUAAUUC